rnacentral:lncRNA from 1 species
CCUCCUCCUCCUCCGACUUCGAAUUCACCGUCUCCAUCUCCCCCCGCAAAUCCACCACCAAUCUCAUCCCCGCCGACCAGCUCUUCUACAAAGGCCAGCUCCUCCCUCUCCAUCUCUCUCCCCGUCUCUCUAUGGUCCGCACUCUCCUCCUCGCAUCCUCCUCCACCUCCUCUUCCGACACCACCACCACCGCCUCCCGCCACUCCACCGCCAGCUCCUCCUCCGACUUCCCCGACUCCCGCGACUCCUCCCGCCGCCCCAGCUCCGUCACCGACGACGACACUUCCAACUCACAACCCCUCACGCGCCUCCUCAACACCUCCCCAACCUCCGCCAAAAAACCCAAAUAUUUCUCCCUCUCCAGAUUCUCUUCCGUGUUCCGCAAGGAACCCAAGCUCCCAUCCUCCACCACCACCACCAUCACUUACGACACCAUCGCCAACACCUCCUCUCAAAACUCCGUCAAGCGCGUGAGCUCCACCGCCAAAGACGUGAUCCGCAAGUACCUAAAGAAAGUCAAGCCCCUCUACGAGAAGCUCUCUCAAAAACAAGGAGCCUC